GCGCACGGGCGGCCUCUCCCAAGGGCGGCGGAAGCGGAACAGCCGAGGGCGGUUUACGGGAGGUGGAGCCGCGAGUCACCGCUGUGCGGGCGUCCAGGGGUCCCGCCCAGACGGCCGGACGUCUGGGCCCAGGGAAGGGGACGAGGCCACCAGGCUAUGAGAAAGAAGGCCGAAGCCACCCAUAAACUUGGAGCGCGUGGAUUUGGAGGAGGCAGAGCCCGGUGCCCUUGGCCCCCGCAGGAGGCGGCAGAGGAAAUGAGCUCACGCUGACCGGCAGGCUGUCCUCCCCCACAGUGCGCGGCACACCUCCCCCACUUCCCAGAAAGCGGCCCCCCACCCUCCGCCCUCCACCUCUUCCUGCGCCUUCGCUGCCCCCCUGCCCGCUCACCGUCCACCUUCUCCAGCCCCUCCUUCCUGCCACUGCUGCCCCGCUCCCAAUGCCCACCCCCUAUAUCCUGCUGUCACCCCAAAACUGCUUCACCCCUGUGUGUUCUUUCCCUGGGGCUUGGGGCUGAGAGCCGGGCUUGGAGGGGAUGUAUCCUGUCCCGGCCCCUAGCCUGGUCACCUGCCUUCAU